GUCUGCUUCACAGGCGUUCUCUGAAGUCUCGCGUUGUUACGUCUCUGGGUUUAGAAACUGGUAGUGGGGGAACAGGAAGUUCCGCGCAGGCGCGCAUCAUUCUUCAGAAUAAAGGAUACGUCAGAAUUGUGCGGUCGAGACAACAACUUCUGUGUCCGUUUCAAAUGUAUAACUACUGGCCGACUCAGAUUAAGUCUGAGGCCGGUAACAUCAACAGUGAGGACAAACCCAGCCUGCCUCUCUCCCUCCACACUGAGUCCAAACCUACAGUCACUGGGUCCUGAUUGUGACAGUGUAGCCCAGUUUGCACUGCAGGGUCCAGAGAUGGCAUCAGUGAAGCUGGAAGACUGCAGUCAAACACUGCAGCUGAAUGUCAACAUUAAAGAUGAAGAAGAGGAGGAGAAGAUUGGGAAAUCUGUUUCUCAUGGUAUGAGGCCGGUAACAUCAACAGUGAGGACAAACCCAGCCUGCCUCUCUCCUUCCACACUGAGUCCAAACCUACAGUCACUGGGUCCUGAUUGUGACAGUGGAGCCCAGUUUGCUCUGCAGGAUCCAGAGAUGGCAUCAGUGAAGCUGGAAGACUGCAGUCAAACACUGGAGCUGAAUGUCAACAUUAAAGAUGAAGAUGAGGAGAAGAUUGGGAAAACUGUUUCUCAUGCUGCACUGUGGUAGUGGGGGAACAGGAAGUUCCAGGCAGGCACGCACCAUUCUUCAGAAUAAAGAAACGCCAGAACUGUGCAGUCAAGAACCUUUGUGUCGGUUUCUAUUUAUUAAUACAGGUGAUUGUGAUCAACUAUUUUACAAGUCACAUAGCUAGAAGCCUUGGGUUUGUCUGAAUGGAUGUACAUCAUUUCCUCAAGACUUUGUCCAAACCUACAUUCAUUCACUGGGUCCUGAUUGUGACAGUGGAGCCCAGUUUGCACUGCAGGAUCCAGAGAUGGCAUCAGUGAAGCUGGAAGACUGCAGUCAAACACUGGAGCUGAAUGUCAUCAUUAAAGAUGAAGAAGAGGAGAAGAUUGGGGCAUCUGUUUCUCAUGGAAACCAUGUUGACACAUUCUCUACAUCCAGAGAGCAACAGCAGGAAGAUCACAGAGCUAAGAGGUCUCAUCACUGCCCACAUUGUGAGGAGAUUUUUCAAUUUCUAUCAAAGCUAAAAAUACACACAGGAGAGAAUCUGUAUUCCUGUACUGACUGUGGGAAGAAUUUCUCUCUACUGAGCAACUUCAAAAGACAUGAACGUAUACAUACAGGAGAGAAGCCUUACUUAUGCUCUGACUGUGUAAAAUGCUUCACAACAUCAACUGAGCUAAAACGUCACCAGAGAACACACACAGGAGAGAAGCCUUACUCCUGCUCUGACUGUGGAAAGAGUUUCUCUCAACUGAGCAACUUAAAAGCACAUGUACGUAUACAUACAGGAGAGAAUCCUUAAUCUUGCUCUGAAUGUGGGAAGAGUUUCUCUCUACUGAGCAACUUAAAAUCACAUGAACGUAUGCAUAAAGGAGAGAAGCCUUACAUAUGCUCUGUGUAAAAUGCUUCACAACAUCAACUGAGCUAAAACGUCAUCAGAGAACACACACAGGAGAGAAGCCUUACUCCUGCUCUGACUGUGGAAAUAGUUUUUCUCGACUGGGCACCUUAAAAAGACACCAAGUUAAACAUAAAGGACCACUGAUCUGACUGUGGAAAAUGUUUUAAAACAACAGCUGAGCUAAAAGGUCAUCAUAGAACAGACAUAGGAGAGAAGCCUUACAUCUGCUCUGACUGUGCGUCGAGUUUCUCUACUGUGCCACUUAAAAUGACAUGAAUGUAUACACACAGGAGAGAAGCCUUGUCACUUCACUGACUGUGAGAAGAGAUUCUACAGAUUGGGCCAUUUAAAAAGACACCAAUGUUUACAUAAAGGAGAGAAGCCUCAUCAGUUCUCUCAGACCAGCUAAGAUUAGACACUCCACUUAAUUAUCAUCUCAUAAAAUAAUUGGCAACGUUGAAUUGGAUCAAAUGAAGAAAGCGUAUAACACUAUUGUAAUCCUAUUUUUUUCUAACUGUGAGAGAACUGUGCAGAGGAACGGUUAGCCUCUCUUUACUGAUCAGUAUGCACCUUGUUAGUUUUGGUGUGUUUUGUUAGGUUAUACUGUAAAGAUAUUGAGAUGAGGCGUCUCACAAUGGAUUCUGAUGGUUAACUGGGUGGUACUGCUUCCCUCUGCAGAUUUCUGUGGGAAUGAGCUGGUAGACAACAUGUACAGAGUGUACAAAACAUUGAAGGAUGCCUGCUCUUUCCAUGACAUAGACUGACCAGGUGAACCCAGGUGAAAGCUAUAAUCCUUAAUGAUGUAGUUUUUAUUAUGGAUUUGUUAUGGAUCCCCAUUUAGCUUUCAGCAGAAAGCAAGAGACUGCAGUUGCAGUGGGCUAAGAAAUGGAAAGACUGGGCACUGGAGAAUGAAUUUGAACAACAUUGCCUGGUCUGAUGAAUCCCUGCUGUUUCAUGCUGAUGGGAGGACUAGGGUAUAGAGGAAACCAUGAGUACAUGCAUCCAUUCCAUAUGUCAACAUUGCAGGCUGGUGGUGGUGGUGUGAGGGGUGUGUUUUCAUGCCACACAUUGGGUCCCUUGAUAGAAGUGGAGCAACGUUUGAAUACCACAGGAUAUGUAAACAUCAUUGGCAAUCAGGUGCAUCCUUUCAUGGCAGCAGUGUAUCCAUCUGCAAAUAGAUUUUUUCAGCAGGAUUAUGCCCCGUUCCACAAGGCUUGUCCAGGAAUGGUUCCAAGAACAUGACAGUGAAUUCAGCUUACUGCAGUGGCCUGCUGAGUCACCAGAUCUCAAUCCAAUUGUACAUAUGUGGGAGGAGAUGGAACAAGCUAUUCAGAGUAGAGAUCCACUCCCAGCCAACUUGACACAAUUGUGGGAAGCAUUGGAGUCAACAUGGACCAGCAUCCCUGUGGAACGUUCUCAACACCUUGGACAGUCUAUGCCGUGACAAUUUGAGGCUUUUCUGAGGAUAAAAGGGGCUGCAACUCAAUAUUAGGAUGGUGUUUCUAAUGUUUUGUACACAAUGUAUAUCAGAUAAAGAUGGUGUGAUGAUCAUUUUUUAGCGUUAGUUUGGGUGGAUUAUUUUAUGUUAAACAACUUUUGUUUAAUGAUAAACAGGCUUAGAACUGACUUGUUUAUUAAAUUGUAUUUUAAUUCUUGAUUCAUUAUUUUAGUCAUUGAUGAUGAAUGUAUUUGAAUAAUUGUGUUGAAGUUAAUUGAUCUGGUGGCAGGUAGCCUAACGGUUAAGAGUGUUGGGCCAGUAACUGAAAGGUCGCUGGUUUGAAUCCCGAGCCAACUAGGUGAAUAAUAUGUCAUUGUGCCCUUCAGCAAGCCAAUUAACUCUUAUUUGUCCUGUAAUUUGCUCUGGAUAAGAGCAUCUGCUAAAUGACAAGAUUGUAAUGAAAAAUGUUUGUAUAUGAAUUUAUGCUGGGCAAACACUUUUUUCUCUUAAAUGAAAUACUGUAUAUACAAUACACAACAUUACCACUUUGUUUACCCUGGUCAGAGGGACAGGACCAUAGUAAGCUAGACUAUAUAGCUGCUGUUGUUAGUAGCCUACAGUUUCCAUGCAAUACAGCAUGUCAGAUCACUAAUGAUUAGGUGUACAGGCUGCUACAUUUAUACAAGAGUUUCUACCUGUGUCUGUCAGGAGUGAUGUGUUAUCAGGAUUGUUAAAUAACUACUGGAGAGAAGUGGAGAGCCGCCUUGACCUUUGUGCCCGACAUGGUCAAGAGAGACAGAGAGCCUGCAGCAGCACUCCGAUGUGAAGAACAGCCCUUAGAAAAAUGUGCGAUGGUAGUACAAUAAAAAAAUAUAGCAUGGUAUUUUUGUGGAAUGGUAGUGACCAAAAAACAAUAUGUUUUUUAUUGUACUAGAACUAGGAACAUGGAAGAAACUGACAGAUGCGUCAUAAUAGCCCAGAAGUAAAGCUGCACUGGGAGACACAUUUGAAAUGGAUUACAUUGUCUCCACCCUGCUGCAUGUAUUCAAUCACAGUAAAAUACGAUUCAAAUGUAUUGUUGGAAGGGAUGUGGUCACCAUUCAUGUAAUACAUUAAAUAUAUACAUCAGAUGGUAUUGGGGAGCAAUUUCA